rnacentral:sRNA from 2 species
AUGUACCCCCAUACACUCCGGUUCCGUCCUCACCCACCUGACGGCUGCCCGCGACGUGUUGUUAGCC